GACGAACGCUGGCGGCAGGCUUAACACAUGCAAGUCGGACGCAUCCUUCGGGGUGAGUGGCAGACGGGUGAGUAACGCGUGGGAACGUGCCCUUCAGUUCGGGAUAACCCAGGGAAACUUGGGCUAAUACCGGAUACGUGCGAGAGCAGAAAGAUUUAUCGCUGAAGGAUCGGCCCGCGUCUGAUUAGCUAGUUGGUGGGGUAAUGGCCCACCAAGGCGACGAUCAGUAGCUGGUCUGAGAGGAUGAGCAGCCACAUUGGGACUGAGACACGGCCCAAACUCCUACGGGAGGCAGCAGUGGGGAAUAUUGGACAAUGGGCGCAAGCCUGAUCCAGCCAUGCCGCGUGAGUGAUGAAGGCCUUAGGGUUGUAAAGCUCUUUCGUCCGGGACGAUAAUGACGGUACCGGAAGAAGAAGCCCCGGCUAACUUCGUGCCAGCCGCCGCGGUAA
rnacentral:rRNA from 1 species